GGGAGUGAUCGGCCUCGAGGAAGAGUACGAUUUCACGCGUUCAGGCGGAGUUUGCAUGGAUAUCUCCUAAAACUGUCUUUGCAACACAAUAAGUGCAAACUUAUUUAAAAGAGUAGCAUCUGUUUUCGGUUCGCCGAUGCAGCUUGCUGCCUCCUAUGCGUAAGUAUAGGUUUAUCCCGUGUCUUCGGACGCGGGACAUCCGAACAUUUGAUUCUCGCUGGAGUGUAAGGGUGUUAUAUUAGUGAGGCAAUGUUAAACAAGCCCGCCUUAACAUUUGAAUAAGGGCAAAAGUCCCCCGCAACUGCAGGGGCAAAUAAGCCUGUCAACCGCCGACUUCAAACUUUUCUGACCCGGGUUCGAUUCCCGGCACUUCCACCA
rnacentral:tmRNA from 1 species